AGAGUUUGAUCCUGGCUCAGAUUGAACGCUGGCGGCACGCCUAACACAUGCAAGUCGAGCGGUAACAUGGUUAGUAGCAAUACUAACUGAUGACGAGCGGCGGACGGGUGAGGUACACGUAGGAACCUGCCCUCGAGUGGGGGACAACCAAGGGAAACUUUGGCUAAUACCGCAUAAUCUCGAGAGAGCAAAGCUGCCCGCAAGGGUGGCGUUCGAGGAGGGGCCUGCGUCCGAUUAGCUAGUUGGUAGGGUAAAAGCCUACCAAGGCGAUGAUCGGUAACUGGUCUGAGAGGACGACCAGCCACACUGGAACUGAGACACGGUCCAGACUCCUACGGGAGGCAGCAGUGGGGAAUAUUGGACAAUGGGCGCAAGCCUGAUCCAGCCAUGCCGCGUGGGUGAAGAAGGCCUUCGGGUUGUAAAGCCCUUUUGUCCGGAAAGAAAAGCAUCGGGCUAAUACCUCGGUGUUCUGACGGUACCGGAAGAAUAAGCACCGGCUAACUUCGUGCCAGCAGCCGCGGUAAUACGAAGGGUGCAAGCGUUACUCGGAAUUACUGGGCGUAAAGCGUGCGUAGGUGGUUCGUUAAGUCUGAUGUGAAAGCCCUGGGCUCAACCUGGGAAUUGCAUUGGAUACUGGCGAGCUAGAGUGCGGUAGAGGAUGGCGGAAUUCCCGGUGUAGCAGUGAAAUGCGCAGAGAUCGGGAGGAACAUCUGUGGCGAAGGCGGCCAUCUGGACCAGCACUGACACUGAGGCACGAAAGCGUGGGGAGCAAACAGGAUUAGAUACCCUGGUAGUC
rnacentral:rRNA from 1 species